AAACCAAAGACGUAUGACGUAGAUACAUUAAUAUUAUGUGACACAUGACAGAAGCUCCAAACAAAUGACAAUGGAUGAAAAGCCCUAUUACAGUAAUAAAAAUAAAAAAUAAUUGAUUCGGCUGAUCUAAUGUGAGUUUGAAUAUAUGUUCGGUACAACUUUUUUCGUACUACAUUUCACUUGAAUUUUAUGUUUUCAUCUAAAAUAUUUGGAACUUCAGUGAGAAAGCAAUUAGGAAUGACCAUGAAUGUUCGGUACAACUUUUUUCGUACUACAUUUCACUUGAAUUGUAUGUUUUCAUCUAAAAUAUUUGGAACUUCAGUGAGAAAGCAAUUAGGAAUGACCAUGGCUAAGUUUGUAGUUCGAUUUCCACCAUACCCUUGCGAGUUAAACCCUAUUGAACAUAACAGAAGGCAACAUAAAAGUGGUUUUGGUCAUAAGGAAAGGAAAUGAAGAAACUUUUAUCUGAAAAAGAGGUUUCUAUUAAAUGAAACUGGUUAUGAAGAUGGAAAACUGGAUCCAGUUUCACCAGGAAUUGAGCAUGUUCGAUUGUCGCCAUACUAUUGUGAACUAAUUCCAAUUGAACUUAUAUGGGCUCAAACAAAAAAAUUAAGUAGCAAGGAUAAAAUGUAUUGAGCAUGCAGUGAAAUAGGAGCAAAAUAUGUGGAGGCUUGAUAACUACAUUGAAACCGUGGAACUGGUACAAUGGAACCAGUAGUUGUGGAGCUAGGUGAGGAUACGACUGAUGAACCUGAAGAUAACAUAGAUGACUCAGAUUAGACUAUAAUAUUUUUUGGACCAAUUAAUGGAGAGUCGACAUUGUGUAUGAACAACUCUUGCUACAGCUAAGAGACCUCAACUCAAACAAGAUGACGUAGCAGUAAUGUCCAGAUGAAGAGAUACAAAGAGAUUUUCAGACUCGAGAGUUAGUUGGGACUCACAACAAAAUAAUCAAUUUAGUAGACAAAGCUGAUCGUAGUGCCAUAAUAAAAAAGGUGAAAAUGAAAAAAGAAUAUCAUUUUAUAAACUUCUCAAUACACUUAAUUUUAAGUAUCAAAAACGAGAAAUACAGGGCAUGUUAGAAAAAAAUGAGAUUGUUUUGUGGAGAGAAAUAUUUAAAGAAAAUUAUAUCUAAGCGAAAUGAUGGUCAUAAAAUUUAUUACCUGGAUGAGACGUGGGACACUGGACAUACAAAAUCUAAAUUUUGGACCCAUAAGUCUACUGUUUCUUCAAGCAAGUGUGUCUGGAUGGUUUGUCCACUUGAUUUAAAAAAACUCUUAUCAGAUAAGAAAGAAGCAGACAACUGUAUCUCAGAAACGUCCAGUCUUCACCAUGAGCUCCAUAUAAUUGCACUUCAAAUACUGAAUUUAUAUUGUGUCAAAAAGUAAUUAAAAAUGUAUUAUUUUUCAGUUGUAAGAUUAAUUUUGUGUAUAACUUUUUCGGUUUUCUAAUAAAAUGUUAAAUGAA
rnacentral:lncRNA from 1 species